rnacentral:rRNA from 1 species
AACGAACGCUGGUGGCGUGCUUAACACAUGCAAGUCGAACGAGAAAGUUUCCUUCGGGAAAUUAGUAAAGUGGCGCAAGGGUGAGUAUCACGUGAAUAAUCUGCCCUCGAGAUCGGGAUAACAUGGUGAAAACUAUGCUAAUACCGGAUAAGACCACAUUUCAUAAGAAAUGCGGUAAAAGGAGUCUCAAUCUUCACUCGAGGAUGAGUUCGCGCAACAUUAGCUUGUUGGUGAGAUAAAAGCUCACCAAGGCUACGAUGUUUAGCCGGCCUGAGAGGGUGAACGGCCACACUGGAACUGAGACACGGUCCAGACUCCUACGGGAGGCAGCAGUGGGGAAUAUUGCGCAAUGGGCGAAAGCCUGACGCAGCAACGCCGUGUGAGCGAUGAAGGCUUUAGGGUCGUAAAGCUCUGUCAAAUGGGAAGAAUUUUGACGGUACCAUUAGAGGAAGCCCCGGCUAACUCCGUGCCAGCAGCCGCGGUAAUACGGAGGGGGCAAGCGUUGUUCGGAAUUAUUGGGCGUAAAGCGUAUGUAGGCGGCUAAAUAAGUCAGGCGUGCAGGCCCGUGGCUCAACCACGGAAUUGCGUUUGAAACUGUUUAGCUUGAGUACAGGAGAGGAAAGCGGAAUUCCCAGUGUAGCGGUGAAAUGCAUUGAUAUUGGGAAGAACAUCUGUGGCGAAGGCGGCUUUCUGGUCUGUUACUGACGCUGAGAUACGAAAGCCAGGGUAGCGAACGGGAUUAGAUACCCCGGUAGUCCUGGCUGUAACGAUGGGCACUAGGUGCAGGAGGUAUCGAUCCCCUCUGUGCCGUAGCUAACGCGUUAAGUGCCCCGCCUGGGGAGUACGGUCGCAAGGCUGAAACCCAAAGGAAUUGACGGGGGCCCGCACAAGCGGUGGAGCAUGUGGUUUAAUUCGACGCAACGCGAAGAACCUUACCUGAGCUUGACAUGCACGGGCAAGCCAUAGAAAUAUGGCCCCUCUUCGGAGUCCGUGUGCAGGUGCUGCAUGGCUGUCGUCAGCUCGUGUCGUGAGAUGUUGGGUUAAGUCCCGCAACGAGCGCAACCCCUGCCUUUAGUUGCCAUCGGGUCAUGCCGGGAACUCUAAAGGGACUGCCGGUGAUAAACCGGAGGAAGGUGGGGAUGACGCCAAGUCCUCAUGGCCUUUAUGCUCAGGGCUACACACGUGCUACAAUGGCUGGUACAAAGAGUCGCGAGACCGCGAGGUGGAGCUAAUCUCAUAAAACCAGUCUCAGUUCGGAUUGGAGUCUGCAACUCGACUCCAUGAAGCUGGAAUCGCUAGUAAUCGUGAAUCAGCAUGCCACGGUGAAUACGUUCCCGGGCCUUGUACACACCGCCCGUCACACCACGAAAGUCGAUUGUACCGGAAGUCAUGAUGCCAACCCGCAAGGGAGGCUGGUGCCUAUGGUAUGGUUGGUGAU